CGUCGUAUUCUGUCGGUCGAAAUUAAUAAAUUACUGUUAUUCAACAUUUUAACGACUUUAACGGGCAACGAAUAACGAUUACUUGUUUUACGUUUGCUGCCCCUGGCUGGAAGUUUGGUUCAACAUUUAACAUAAGUAAAACUUGUGUAUAAUAAGUGCCUAAAUCAAUUGUUUGUAAUAUAUUUGAAUGUUUAUUAAUUAAUUAAUAUCCAACUAGUACAUGUUUAACAUAAUUAACAGUGUAACAACAAUUCAUAACAAAAUUAAUCUGAAAGAAAAAUACUACAAGGAUUAUCAGAGAAUCUGUACAGUAACUAAACAGAAAUGAUGAUCUGUUGAUGUUUUUGAAGAGGACUGUUCUCCAAAAUCAUGACUAUGUUCCACAACAAAUUGGACCUUAUCCCUUAGUACCUAUGUUGUAAAUACUGUGAAUAUUGUAAUUCAUUUAAAUUUAAUUUUCUACUUGUCCACUUACAAAAAAUUAUUCAACUGGGGAAUUAAUUGUACUUAUUAUUGUAGGAGGUCUGUUAUUGUUCAAUGUUAUAAAUUAUAAUAUUCCUUUUAUUAUUAAAUUAUGUAAUUUAUUAAGUUUAUUGUUAUUGAAUUAUUUUAUUUAUAAAAUUUACUGUUAUUUAAUUAUAUUAUUAUUAAGUGAGUAACUACUAGUAAAAAAUUA